AAUCGGAGCCGGUCCGGCCCCGUGGAAGUUUUAACCUUGCUCCUUGGGUGACGAGUGGCGGACGGGUGAGUAAUGUCUGGGAAACUGCCCGAUGGAGGGGGAUAACUACUGGAAACGGUAGCUAAUACCGCAUAACGUCGCAAGACCAAAGAGGGGGACCUUCGGGCCUCUUGCCAUCGGAUGUGCCCAGAUGGGAUUAGCUAGUAGGUGGGGUAACGGCUCACCUAGGCGACGAUCCCUAGCUGGUCUGAGAGGAUGACCAGCCACACUGGAACUGAGACACGGUCCAGACUCCUACGGGAGGCAGCAGUGGGGAAUAUUGCACAAUGGGCGCAAGCCUGAUGCAGCCAUGCCGCGUGUAUGGAGGAGGCCUUCGGGUUGUAAAGUACUUUCAGCGAGGAGGAAGGUGUUGUGGUUAAUAACCGCAGCAAUUGACGUUACUCGCAGAAGAAGCACCGGCUAACUCCGUGCCAGCAGCCGCGGUAAUACGGAGGGUGCAAGCGUUAAUCGGAAUUACUGGGCCGUAAAGCGCACGCAGGCGGUCUGUCCAGUCCGAUGUGAAAUCCCCCGGCUCACCUGGGAACUGCAUCCAAAACUGGCAGGCUAGAGUCUUGGAGAGGGGGGGUAGA
rnacentral:rRNA from 1 species